ACGGGAGGCAGCAGUGGGGAAUAUUGCACAAUGGGGGAAACCCUGAUGCAGCGACGCCGCGUGAGUGAAGAAGUAUUUCGGUAUGUAAAGCUCUAUCAGCAGGGAAGAAAAUGACGGUACCUGACUAAGAAGCACCGGCUAAAUACGUGCCAGCAGCCGCGGUAAUACGUAUGGUGCAAGCGUUAUCCGGAUUUACUGGGUGUAAAGGGAGCGCAGGCGGUGCGGCAAGCCUGAUGUGAAAGCCCGGGGCUCAACCCCGGUACUGCAUUGGAAACUGUCGAACUAGAGUGUCGGAGGGGUAAGUGGAAUUCCUAGUGUAGCGGUGAAAUGCAUAGAUAUUAGGAGGAACACCAGUGGCGAAGGCGGCUUACUGGACGACAACUGACGCUGAGGCUCGAAAGCGUGGGGAGCAAACAGGAUUAGAUACCCUGGUA
rnacentral:rRNA from 1 species